rnacentral:rRNA from 1 species
CGUAGGCGGCUUUGUAAGUCAGAGGUGAAAUCCUGGAGCUCAACUCCAGAACUGCCUUUGAGACUGCAUCGCUUGAAUCCCGGAGAGGUGAGUGGAAUUCCUAGUGUAGAGGUGAAAUUCGUAGAUAUUCGGAAGAACACCAAUGGCGAAGGCGGCUCACUGGACUGGUAUUGACGCUGAAGUGCGAAAGCGUGGGGAGCAAACAGGAUUAAAUACCCUGGUAGUCCACGCCGUAAACGAUGAUUACUAGCUGUCGGGGCUCUUAAAGUUU